GGAAUAUUGCGCAAUGGAGGAAACUCUGACGCAGUGACGCCGCGUGCAGGAAGAAGGUUUUCGGAUUGUAAACUGCUUUAGACAGGGAAGAAACAAGACAGUACCUGUAGAAUAAGCUCCGGCUAACUACGUGCCAGCAGCCGCGGUAAUACGUAGGGAGCAAGCGUUAUCCGGAUUUACUGGGUGUAAAGGGAGCGUAGACGGCAGCACAAGUCUGGAGUGAAAUGCCGGGGCUUAACCCCGGAACUGCUUUGGAAACUGUGCAGCUAGAGUGCAGGAGAGGUAAGUGGAAUUCCUAGUGUAGCGGUGAAAUGCGUAGAUAUUAGGAGGAACACCAGUGGCGAAGGCGGCUUACUGGACUGUAACUGACGUUGAGGCUCGAAAGCGUGGGGAGCAAACAG
rnacentral:rRNA from 1 species